rnacentral:rRNA from 1 species
GAUGAACGCUGGCGGCGUGCCUAAUACAUGCAAGUCGAGCGAACGGACGAGAAGCUUGCUUCUCUGAUGUUAGCGACGGACGGGUGAGUAACACGUGGAUAACCUACCUAUAAGACUGGGAUAACUUCGGGAAACCGGAGCUAAUACCGGAUGAUAUUUUGAACCGCAUGGUUCAAAAGUGAAAGACGGUCUUGCUGUCACUUAUAGAUGGAUCCGCGCUGCAUUAGCUAGUUGGUAAGGUAAUGGCUUACCAAGGCAACGAUGCAUAGCCGACCUGAGAGGGUGAUCGGCCACACUGGAACUGAGACACGGUCCAGACUCCUACGGGAGGCAGCAGUAGGGAAUCUUCCGCAAUGGGCGAAAGCCUGACGGAGCAACGCCGCGUGAGUGAUGAAGGUCUUCGGAUCGUAAAACUCUGUUAUUAGGGAAGAACAUAUGUGUAAGUAACUGUGCACAUCUUGACGGUACCUAAUCAGAAAGCCACGGCUAACUACGUG